UACGUAGGGGGCAAGCGUUGUCCGGAAUCACUGGGCGUAAAGGGCGCGUAGGCGGCUCAUGAAGGCUGUGGUGAAAGUCCGGGGCUCAACCUCGGAUCGGCCGUGGCGACUCGUGGGCUGGAGCACUGUAGAGGCGGGUGGAAUUCCGGGUGUAGCGGUGGAAUGCGUAGAGAUCCGGAAGAACACCAGUGGCGAAGGCGGCCCGCUGGGCAGUGGCUGACGCUGAGGCGCGACAGCGUGGGGAGCAAACAGG
rnacentral:rRNA from 1 species